UACGUAGGGGGCUAGCGUUGUUCGGAAUUACUGGGCGUAAAGCGCACGUAGGCGGACAUUUAAGUCAGGGGUGAAAUCCCAGAGCUCAACUCUGGAACUGCCUUUGAUACUGGGUGUCUUGAGUAUGGAAGAGGUGAGUGGAAUUCCGAGUGUAGAGGUGAAAUUCGUAGAUAUUCGGAGGAACACCAGUGGCGAAGGCGGCUCACUGGUCCAUUACUGACGCUGAGGUGCGAAAGCGUGGGGAGCAAACAGG
rnacentral:rRNA from 1 species